rnacentral:rRNA from 1 species
UAGUCAUACGCUUGUCUCAAAGAUUAAGCCAUGCAUGUCUAAGUAUAAGCACUUAUACCGUGAAACUGCGAAUGGCUCAUUACAUCAGUUAUAGUUUAUUUGAUAGUCCCCACUACUUGGAUAACCGUAGUAAUUCUAGAGCUAAUACAUGCGUCAAGUCCUGACUGCGCGAGCGGAAAGGAUGUGUUUAUUAGAUACAACCAACCCCUUACGGGUUUCUGGUGAAUCAUAAUAACCGAACGAACCGUAUGCGCAAGCGACGGUGGUUCAUUCAAGUU